UACGUAGGGAGCAAGCGUUGUCCGGAAUCAUUGGGCGUAAAGCGCGCGUAGGUGGCCAUUUAAGUCCGCUGUGAAAGUCAAAGGCUCAACCUUUGGAAGCCGGUGGAUACUGGGUGGCUAGAGUACGGAAGAGGCGAGUGGAAUUCCUGGUGUAGCGGUGGAAUGCGCAGAUAUCAGGAGGAACACCAAUAGCGAAGGCAGCUCGCUGGGACGUUACUGACACUGAGGCGCGAAAGCGUGGGGAGCGAACAGG
rnacentral:rRNA from 1 species